rnacentral:lncRNA from 1 species
GCCUCAGCCUCCCAAAGUGCUGGGAUUACACGCAUGAGUCACCGGGCCUGGCUGAUCCUGUUGUGUUGAUUGCUGGAUCCCUGGCCGCCAGUUCAGGGCUGGCCAAUAGGAGGUGCUCAUUAAAUGCUUGUAGAGCAAGGAAAGGGGACUCAGAUGGUCUGCAGAGGGUUGAAUGGUGACCUCCCCCAAAAUAUACGUCCACCUGGAACCUGUAAAUAUGACCUUAUUUGGGAAAAAAGGGUCUUUGUACAUAUAACUAACGAUCUUGAGAUGAGAUUAUAGGUGCCAACUGUCCUCAGAAAAGAAAGGCAGGCUGGGCGUGGUGGCUCAGGCCUGUAAUCCCAACACUUUGGGAAGCUGAGGCGGGUGGAUCACCUGAGGCCAGGAGUUCAAGAUCAGCCUGGCCAAUGGUGAAACCUUGUCUCUACUAAAAAUACAAAAAUUAGUUGGGCGUGGUGGCGGGCACCUGUAAUCUCAGCUACUCGGGAGGCAGAGGUUUCAGCGAGCCGAGAUCGUGCCAUUGCACUCCAGCGUGGGUGAGGGAGCAAGACUGUCUCAAAAAUAAGUUGAGCAAGGAUCCUCCCCUAGAGCCUUCGGAGGGAGCACGGCCCUGCCCACACCUGGAUUUCAGACCUGUGGACUCCGGAACUGUGAGAGCACAACUUUCUGUUGCUUUAAGCCCCCCAGUUUGAGGUAUUUUGUUACAGCAAUCACAGGAAUUAACAUACUGCCCUAUCAGAGAAAGCCUUUCUGAAGAUCUGCGGAAAAGAAGGACGUUAGGGAAAAGCCAGCCUCUGUGUAGGUAACACUCCGAGGGUGCACUUGGUCAGACACGAGUGAAUCUACACAUGGGGCAAACUUGAUGCCUUAUUCCCCCAGCCCCCAAAAUUGGCAUUUUGUCUUAAUGUGUAAGCAACAAGAUCCACAUGUUACUUUGGAGUUUUUCACUGACAACCAGCACUAGUGUCUAACACAGUGGGUUAAGAAAAGUGGGUUAACUUUUCUUGGUUUAAGAAUGUGAUGAGGCCAGGCAUAGUGGCUCACACCUGUAAUGCCAGAACUUUGGGAAGCCACGGCAGGAGGACUGCUUGAGCCCAGGAGUUUGAGGCCAGCCUGGGCAACAUAGGGAGACCCCUUCCCUAAAAAAAAUUAAAAAAUUAGCCGAGCAUGGUGGUGCAUGCCUGUAGUCCCAGCUACUCAGAAGGCUGAGGCAAGAGGAUGACUUGAGCCUGGGAGGUUGAGGCUGCAGUAAGCCAUGAUCACACUACUGCACUCCGGCCUGGGUGACACAGCAAGACCCUGUCUCAAAAAAAA